rnacentral:rRNA from 1 species
UACGUAGGGGGCUAGCGUUGUCCGGAUUUAUUGGGCGUAAAGAGCGUGUAGGCGGCCAGGUAGGUCUGGUGUGAAAACUCGAGGCUUAACCUCGAGAUGUCAUCGGAAACCAUCUGGCUAGAGUCCGGAAGAGGAGAGUGGAAUUCCUGGUGUAGCGGUGAAAUGCGCAGAUAUCAGGAAGAACACCAAUGGCGAAAGCAGCACUCUGGGACGGUACUGACGCUGAGACGCGAAAGCGUGGGGAGAGAACAGG